ACCAGAGGGGGACUGGUUUUGUCCUGAAUGUGAGAAGAUUACAGUAGCAGAGUGCAUCGAGACCCAGAGGAAAGCCAUGACAAUGCUCACCAUUGAACAGCUCUCCUACCUGCUCAAGUU